GAUGAACGCUGGCGGCGUGCUUAACACAUGCAAGUCGAACGGAAAGGCCCAAGCUUGCUUGGGUCCUCGAGUGGCGAACGGGUGAGUAACACGUGUGGGAUCUGCCCUGCACUUCGGGAUAAGCCUGGGAAACUGGGUCUAAUACCGGAUAGGACGAUGGUUUGGAUGCCAUUGUGGAAAGUUUUUUCGUUGUGGGAUGAGCUCGCGGCCUAUCAGCGUGUUGGUGGGGUAAUGGCCUACCAAGGCGUCGACGGGGAGCCGGCCUGAGAGGGUGUACGGCCACAGUGGGACCGAGAGACGGGCAAGAGUCCGGAGGGAGGCAGCAGGGGGGAAUAUUGGACAAUGGGAGCAAGCCUGAUGCAGCGACGCCGCGUGGGGGAUGACGGCCUUCGGGUUGUAAACUCCUUUCGCUAGGGACGAAGCGUUUUUGUGACGGUACCUGGAGAAGAAGCACCGGCUAACUACGUG
rnacentral:rRNA from 1 species